rnacentral:rRNA from 1 species
AGCGAACGCUGGCGGCAGGCCUAACACAUGCAAGUCGAACGAACCUUUCGGGGUUAGUGGCGGACGGGUGAGUAACACGUGGGAACGUGCCUUUAGGUUCGGAAUAACUCAGGGAAACUUGUGCUAAUACCGAAUGUGCCCUUCGGGGGAAAGAUUUAUCGCCUUUAGAGCGGCCCGCGUCUGAUUAGCUAGUUGGUUGAGGUAAUGGCUCACCAAGGCGACGAUCAGUAGCUGGUCUGAGAGGAUGAUCAGCCACAUUGGGACUGAGACACGGCCCAAACUCCUACGGGAGGCAGCAGUGGGGCAUCUUGCGCAAUGGGCGAAAGCCUGACGCAGCCAUGCCGCGUGAAUGAUGAAGGUCUUAGGAUUGUAAAAUUCUUUCACCGGGGACGAUAAUGACGGUACCCGGAGAAGAAGCCCCGGCUAACUUCGUG